UACGUAGGGCGCAAGCGUUGUCCGGAAUUAUUGGGCGUAAAGAGCUCGUAGGCGGUUUGUCGCGUCUGGUGUGAAAACUCAAGGCUCAACCUUGAGCUUGCAUCGGGUACGGGCAGACUAGAGUGUGGUAGGGUGACUGGAAUUCCUGGUGUAGCGGUGGAAUGCGCAGAUAUCAGGAGGAACACCGAUGGCGAAGGCAGGUCACUGGGCCACUACUGACGCUGAGGAGCGAAAGCAUGGGGAGCGAACAGG
rnacentral:rRNA from 1 species